CCUUGAGGGGUCGCAGGAGGCCUGGAGUAGCUGCGCUUGGACUCUGCAGACCCCACCUUAAGCCGUCUGUCAAAUCCUCCAUUUCCAGAGCGAUUCUUCCUACCCAGUAUCUGAGACAAGACACCCACCCAGUGUGACAUAAACUGAGGUAAACAUCUGUGACCAACACCUUCCCUAUGGGGCAAAGGGUCCCAACCCGACCAGCAGAGGCAGUGGCGGCAGGAGCAGCAAGGCCCCCUGACGGCGACGACGAGAGUGCAGACUUGGUUCCAGCCUGUCUCUCCAUCGGGCUGUCGCUGCCCCCUCUUUGCACCUCUGAAAACAGGGACUGGGCUACAUAACUACGAUCCCUUCCCAACUCUAACAUCCUAGAUACUACGACGAGGGAGAGACUCCCCAAACAGGAUCUUCACAGAGAAAGAGAGAGAGAGAAAGAGAGAGAGAGAGGGCGCACACGAGGGGCGUCUAAUUGGAACCUCGCUUCCUUGUUAUUGCAGGAAAGACAGGAUGUCGAGAGGCCUAAGGCAAAAGGAGAGGUGGCGGCUGGGAGAGGUGCCCGGAUGGGCUCCAGGUUCCCUGAGGGGUGUGCUGAAGCGCAGGCCUGGACGCCCUGUGGCAGCUGCUGGGUGAGAAUCCUGGGGCGGAGUUACCGAGGUGUCGGGAUGCAGCCACUGAAUACACAAGGUGCACCCGCAAGUGCACACCUGCUCAUGCACACAUUUAUCCCCCUCCCACUGCCACAGCCCCCUGUUCUCACACCCACACUCCAGUACCAGAAACUUGGGAGACGGUGGGGAUGAGGUCAGCCCCAGGCUGACCACUGGAGCCUAGCAGAAACCUGGGAGAAAUUUCUGGCCCACAUCACCGCGCCAGCUGCCAAAAGCCCAGGCCGCUGAGUCUGAGCUGGGGCCGUGAGGACUGAGGAUCUGAGAGGUGCCCUCGGCCUGGGAACGUGUGGCCGGCAGGCGGUGCUGGGCCCAGCCCUGGCCUCUGCGAGUUCACUUCCCUGGCUUAGGGCUGCAGGGGCAGCCGAGGCCCCUGUCCUGGGAGCCCUUCAGUUGUCCUGAUGUCCCUGUUGGGGAGCGGAGGGCUGCCAGAGCUCCGCCUCUCUGGCUGUGUGCUCUCAGCAGGCUGCCCUCCAGGCUGUGUCAGGGUCCUCAUCAGGGGACUGGGUGGUGGCGGAGUCACUGGAUUCUAGGGACUGUGUCUGCACACACACGCAGACAUUUGCUACAUUUUGCAGGGGGCGCGGUCCCUCCCCUCCUUCUCCCAGGAAGGGGGCAGGUCGCAGCCGAGCAACCCCCAGCCCUCAGCUCGUGGCCCUCCUCCCAGCCAGUGCCCAGGGGCCCUAAGCCCCUUCUCUGCCCCAACACUUCAGUCCCCUUUUGUGCCCAGG
ensembl:lncRNA